AAAAUGGCAGCAAUGUAUAGAUAUUUUAAAGUGUUGGAAAGUGACAAAAGUAUUGCAGUUUGCAACGAAUGUUCAGCCAAACUGUCUCGAGGAGGUGCCUCAGCAAAGACCUUCAACACUAUUGCAGCAGCUGAAAGGAGAGCUGGUCACAGAACGAGAACGCCCCCGUCUGUGGCAGACGUCUUUGAGAGGACGAAAAAGUUUGCGACUGACAGUGCCAAAGCAAACGGAAUUACAAAGAAGGUAAUGGAGUUUAUGAAUUGGACUUAUUAAAGCCACUUGGAGACAGUGAAGUGACGCACAGAGAGAAAAAGAAUGCGCACCACAGAGGCAGCACGUGUGCCCUCACUCUCUGACAUGUUUGAAGAAAUCCUCCAGGAAAACGACUCAGAUUCCAGGCAGACGAGUAUGAGUGCAACUGCUCAACAGCUAGACUGUUACCUGUCAGAAGUCCUUAUCCCCAGGAGUGACAAUCCUCUAACAUUGGAGGACCAAUUGAGACUGCUUUCCUGACUUAGCACAGAUGGCACGCAGGUACUUGUCUGCUCCAUGCAACAGCACAGACAGUGAGAGGCUAUUUAGUGCUGCAUCCAAUGUCUUUGACGAGAGGAGGAACAGACUGACAUGUGACAAAGCAGAGAAGCUACUGUUCAUAAAGAAUAACCUGCCACUGUUCCUGAAGGAAUGGGCUAAGUAGACUUAUGCCAAAAGGACAAUAAUUCAUUUGUUAUUUGCACUUAGGUUUUUCAAUGCACUUUAAUGCAUGUUUUUGUUGGAAUGUCUACAGCAGGAGUCAGCAUACUGUAGGUUCAAUCAUGGACCAGAUUUCUUAACCUUUUUUGGGGGGUUUGACAUACAGGCACCGUUGUUGAUGUUUUUGUCUGACAUCUAAGACAAAUUAAAAUAUUUUUAUACAGAA